GACGAACGCUGGCGGCGUGCUUAACACAUGCAAGUCGAACGGUGAAGCGCCUUCCUUUUUGGUGGGUGUGGAUGAGUGGCGAACGGGUGAGUAACACGUGAGUAACCUGCCCCCUUCUUCUGGAUAACCGCAUGAAAGUGUGGCUAAUACGGGAUAUUCUGGGUCUGUCGCAUGAUGGGUCUGGGAAAGAUAUUGUUUCGGUGGGGGAUGGGCUCGCGGCCUAUCAGCUUGUUGGUGGGGUGAUGGCCUACCAAGGCGGUGACGGGUAGCCGGCCUGAGAGGGUGGACGGGCACACUGGGACUGAGGCACGGCCCAGACUCCUACGGGAGGCAGCAGUGGGGAAUAUUGCACAAUGGGAGCAAGCCUGAUGCAGCGACGCCGCGUGAGGGAUGGAGGCCUUCGGGUUGUGAACCUCUUUCGCCAGUGAAGCAGGCCUGCCUCGUUUGUGGGUGGGUUGACGGUAGCUGGAUAAGAAGCGCCGGCUAACUACGUG
rnacentral:rRNA from 1 species